rnacentral:misc_RNA from 1 species
GAUGAAGAACGUAGCGAAAUGCGAUAAGUAAUGUGAAUUGCAGAAUUCAGUGAAUCAUCGAAUCUUUGAACGCACAUUGCGCCCCUUGGUAUUCCGAGGGGCAUGCCUGUUCGAGCGUCAUUAUAACCCCUCAAGCUCAGCUUGGUGUUGGGGCCUGCUGCACUGGCAGCCCUUAAAAUCAGUGGCGGCGCCAUCUGGCUCUAAGCGUAGUAAUUCUUCUCGCUAUGGAGUCCUGGUGGAUGCUUGCCAUCAACCCCCAAUUUUUCUAUGGUUGACCUCGGAUCAGGUAGGGAUACCCGCUGAACAUAAGCAUAUCAAUAAGCGGAGGA